rnacentral:sRNA from 1 species
UUUUCUCAGCUUGGUUUAUUCCAACUCUAUAUGGAGUCUCUAGAAAUAAAUAGGCUGCUUCACCCAGCAGUGAGUACACCAAGCCACAGCAGGAGUGCUUGCAUCAAGGAGCAAGAAGGAGUGGGGAUACUCAGUGUAGCCACAUCCUAGAGGGCCGACUGCCCCCCAUUUUCUUUUCUACAGAGGAGUAUGCUAGGAUCCCAAAUAUGAUUACCUCUUUGAGCUCCUUGGUGACCUCCUCCUGGGCAGCGCUCCUUCUCAGGACUCUGCUGCUGGCUGCUGUCACCUUCCUGUUCCUGGCUGGCAUCCUCAGACGCCAUCGCCCAAAAGACUACCAACCAGGGCCAUGGCGUCUGCCCUUUGUGGGCAACUUCUUUCAAAUAGACUUUGAGCAAAGCCACUUGGUGCUUCAGAAGAACUUCAGUACUAAGUCCACUGACUGUGUAUAUGCCUGACAUCCAUGGAUCCUCAAAGUUUGCAAAGAAAUAUGGGAAUGUAUUUAGUCUGGAGUUGGACAGACCAUCAGUGGUGGUUGUAACGGGACAACCUUUAAUCAAAACAAAAAUGUUUACCCACCUGGAGCAAAAUUUCGCGAAUCACUUUGUAACUUCUGUGAGAAAAAGAGCCAUCGGUAAUAAUGGAUUGAUUACAUCUAACGGCCAAACAUGGAAGGAGAAAAGACGGUUUGCUCUGAUGACACUGAAGAACUUUGGAUUAGGAAAGAAGAGUUUGGAGCAGCGUAUGCAUGAAUAGGCCUUCCACCUUGUGGAAGCCAGAAGGGAGGAGGGAGGUAACCAUUUCACAGGCGAUGUCUGGGAUGCCAUGAAGAGAUAUUUAUUAGUUCCCAACUACUUUCCUGUUGUUCUGAUAUAAUAGUUAGCAAAAGCAAAUUAAUAAAGGAAAUUUUAUGUUGAAUCACACUUUAAGUUCCCUUAAACUCCAUUUUGUCAGGGAAGAUCUGGGUCACACUAAACAUACAGUCAAUGUGCCUUGAGGGUGCUGAUGCUAGUUUUCUUUCUCAAUUUGAUUUAAUCUGGUACUGCAUGAGAUGCCACUGUCCAACAUUUGGGUGAAUUUUCCCUGCUUCAGAUUAACUUUUCUGGAAUAGCUCUUACAAAUACAGAAGUAUUUUUCUAGGGGGAUUCUAAGUACAGACAAGUAGACAAGGAAGUGAACCAUUAUAGCAUUUGUUUCAGGCUUUGCACUUCACUAGAAUUAAAUGGUGAAUGUCUUAACACAACCCUGUCCUAGAGUGCUGCACCUAAGCCACAAAAGAGAUCAUUAAACACAUAGAAUUUAACAUCUGUCCAUCUAACAGGCUUCUCAGACUCUGGCAGAGUCCUUGAUAAAUUUCAAUCCCAUGUAGGAUUCUGUGGACACAGUUUCUCAGUUAUGUAUGUUAUAUAUCACAUAGAAAUAACUCCCUAUAGAAAAUAGAAACAGAUAUUUUUGAAAGACACAUCAUCCCCUUUCUCUACCUCCAGGACAACCUGUGGAUCUUCACUUGAUCAACAAUGCAGUUGCCAAUGUAAUUUGCUCCAUCACCUUUGGAGGGCGCUUUGAGUAUGAGGACUGCCAGUUUCAGGAAAUGCCGACGUUACUAGAUGAGGCCUUACAUGUGCAGGCUUCAAUGGCAAGCCGGGUAGGUAGAACUACCCCUUCUCCUCACUUGAUUAAGAAUCUGGAUAGUGUUGUUGGUCAGAAUGUCUUCAUUCAUGUUUACUUUUUUAAAAAUCUAAGAUAUGUUUUUUAUUUAAUUUUUAAAACUUUUAUUGGUUCUUGGUUCAUUUCAUAUCAUACACCCCAAUCCCACUUAUCUCCCUCUUCCCCUCAUAACUGUCUUCCACCCUUGUAAUUUCCCCCACAAUGGAGAAAAAGAGAUCUAGUUGUAGCAGCUGUAGUUGAAUCACUGUGUGUCCCAUGGGAUACCCUUUUGUCCAUGCGUCUUUACUUGCAAAUGUUUAUUGCCAUGAUUCAUUCUGGUAUGAAGCCUCUGACUGCUGCUACUGUCUUUAUUAGUACUGAAACCUCACUUCAACUCCUGUCAGCUACCCUGUUGUUGCACUAUGUCAUGGAGAACCUGUAGUUCCAGAUCUGUAGAACUGGAUUCUUCAUGCACAUCAACAGUUUAUCUGUGGGGUAGAUGGUGGGAUGAGCCAAUUCAAAUCUUUGGAUGUGGAUCUGAGUGGUAUCUGAGGUGAUCAUCUCACUAGUUCUUUUGCUUUCAUGUCCUCGGGACUUAUGCAUCCCCACCAUAAACAGGGCAAGUUCUACACCGCUGCUCCAUCGAGGUGCAGCGCCUGCUCUUCUGCGUCCUGCAGCUGAUAAGAGACAUGACCAGUCUCCUAUUCUCAUGACCCUGGGGUCAACUCUCCUGCCUGCCAUAAGUGAGAUGAUCUAGAGAGGGGAAGAGGGUAUCUCUAGUUUGUAGCACCAUCACACAGCAGACAAGAGGCAGAGCAAGCUCUCCCAUCCUUAUGACUUCAAGGGCAGCUCACUAGCCACCCCCAUAUGCAGAGCAAGCUCUAAUGCUGGCAAGAUACAGGACCUGCUUUCCCAAGUGUGGCAUUCAGUGAGGGACAUGGCCAGUACUCUCAUUCUCAGGACCAUGGCCAGCUCUCCUGCCUGCCAUAGGUGAUGAGGGAGAAAGGAGAGGAGGAGGAUAUCUCUUCUUCAUCUGUGAUAUCACAAAGCAAACAAAAGGCAGGACGAAAUUUUCCUGCCUGCAGUAGAUAACAAGGGCAAGGAUGUGGGAGGGUAUCUCUCCUGUAUCCACAUUGCUGUCCUGGUUAAAAAAAAAUUGCGAGGCCACCUCUGCCAUAGUCACAUGAUUGGGAACCGCUCACCUGAUCAUUACUACCAGAUCAGCUCUACUGUGCUGCCCAGGCAAUUCAAUACAAAUUAUUGAAAUUACUUUGUAGACUCUAAUAUUCUCUAUAAGAGGGAAUAUUAUAUCAAAUGUUUCUUUUUCACGUUGUAAAAUGUUUAUUUUAAAUUUUCAUUCUUCCCUAUCAUUUUUAUGUCUACAAGGUGUCAGUGAUAGUCGGUUCAGUGUGCACACCACACUCUACCUGCUAAGAAACACUCAAAGGUUAAUAAAGUAUGUAUAUACCAAAAUCAGUUAGUCUUUUUCUUUUAAGAUAUUCAUUAAUUGAAAUAUAUAUUUCCAAAGAUGAGCUCAUUUUAUUGAAAUUAAUAUUCAAAUGAAACACAAAGCAAAUAUAAAUGGUGUGUCUUUUAUACUUAUAACUAUUGCAGCUGAUAUUACUUAACAUAAGUUGAUUCCUUUUGAUCCAGUACUUCUUAUGAUUAGGUUUAUUUUUUUCCUGCUACUAAUUGUUAAAGAUAACUUUUCUGCCAUACCUCUUGUAUUAAGACAUGAUUAUUUUACCUAGUAAACCUAACUAUUGUGAAAAUUAACCUGGAAUGCUAUAUAAAGAUGGGAAUAUUAUUACUUGGCAUAUAUAACACAAAGUGCUCAAGAUAUAAAUGAUUUUUCUAGUAUGAAGCAAGAGAAUAAAUAUUGACACUUUGAUUUUGAGCAGGAAAGAGUUCCCAGGCUUCUUUUACAGUGUUCCUCAAGAUGUAUCCCACACAGAACACUACUUCAAAACUGUCAAGGAGGGACUUUCAAAGAAUAGUGUCCAGAGAUGAUACAGAGAAGCUUAGUCAGAAUCCCCAGAGUUAGGGGUUGGGGAUUUAGCUCAGUGGUAGAGCGCUUGCCUAGGAAGCGCAAGGCCCUGGGUUCGGUCCCCAGCUCCGAAAAAAGGAAAAAAAAAGAAUCCCCAGAGUUGAUAACUAAGCAUAAACUUUCAUAAUUAUAUUACUGCAUUUAACUAUCAUCUUAUGAUGCUUGAGGUAAAAAAAGUAUCUAUGUCAAAGUGUUUUUAGACCACACUCUUGAUCAAAAUAAUUGUGAUAUUGGGCCACCUGUUGAUGUGUCUAUGUUCUCAUGUUAGUUUAUGAAGUAAGAGUACAUAUUAUUUAUAUUCCUUCAAACUGUAAUGUUUUGCCAAAGCAGAAAUUUUGAAGCCCAUAAAGAAAUGCAGACCAAGAAAACUAUCAAGAUCGAAAAAUUAAGUAAAUAUAAAAUAUGCUUCAUAAAAGACAAAAAGGAAAGAAGAAAGUUGAACUUUUAAA